AGUGCAGAGAGCAUGGAGCUGAGGUGGUUCUGCAGCAAGUUCUCAGAAGUGGUGUUCAUCUAUCGGAACCAACGGGGGCAGAUGAGGAGCAGAGGCCAGUGUGCAGGCGGACCUCGCUGCUGAGACCUCCUCAGCUGGGGGAGGCUGCCUACACUCCCACACGCCCAGGUUUAUGACAACGGGUGGCACACCUGCCUCUUCAGAAGGGGAGGCUUCUAUGAAGAGGCGACUUUGGAACUGAAGGUGGCAGGCGGAUUCCCUACAAGGUGGGAGUUUUCCUGGACUAAGCGAAGGGGAUGGUUUUCUCUAUAACGUAAUUGAUGGGUCUCACAUUUUCUCCUUACCUCUGACUUGCUUCUGUGGAGCCCUCUUUCUAUACUUCAUGUUAAGGUCAGGAGAUGUGUCCUUGACCAUCUGCUCUGUGUAUAACUUCCAUUCAUUCUUGUGAACAGGACCGUUGCCAUUUGUAUUAGCUAAUUUGCAAAACAAAAUUUACCACUAUUGAUUUCUUGAGGAAACCACUGGAAAGGACAUAUGAAAAAGUAAAGCAGAGAUUAUGUGAAAAAGCAAGAUUUGAAAAGGAAAUAUUUGACACACUAUGACUCCAAUUAAUCAAACUGCUCUCUGUUGCAGUGCUUACAAGCAAGUCCUGUCUUCAGAAGAACUGGCUCAUUUAAUAAGAGACAUAGCAGGAGUUUAAGGGGUGUAAUCUAUACAGUUAGUUUGCCAAUUAUUCUCCUUGGUGGAAAAAUAAUUCUCCAUCAUAAUUAUACACUGGCAAGGAUCACUACACAUUUGUAUGACAGUGAAACAGCAAAAUGACUAACAUAAACUCUUUUUUUGUUUAAGGGACCUCUACCCAUUCCUCCACGUAGACUAGGACAAUUUUAGAA